GGGGACAUCUUGAAUUCAAAGACUGCAUGUGAGGGGGACUCUGGGGGCCCACUGGUCUGUGAAUUCAACCACACCUGGUUGCAGAUUGGAGUCGUGAGCUGGGGCCGCGGCUGCGCCAACCCUCUGUACCCUGCAGUGUAUGCCCGAGUGUCCUACUUUGCCAAUUGGAUAUCUGAGGUUGUGAAAAUGACACCCCUUCCUCGUCAGCCCGUACCCUCCCUGUCCCCAGCUCUGGGGGCCACCCUCACUGUCCUUGUGGCCACGCUGGCCGGCCCGCCAGUGUUGUGAGGGCCGGGACACCCCCUCCCGGCACCCCCAGGGGCGGCACACUCUGCCCGGCCCAGUGCUGCCCCGAGUGCCGGCACCCGCCUCGGGCCCCGGCCUGGCCCCGGGGAGGGCCACCCGCCUGAGUCCGGGAAGGACCGAGCUCCCGGAGGGCGAGGUGACGCCCGAGGAAGGCCAAGAGUUCGGGCCGGGAGGGCAGCUGCGAUUUGGCCAGAUCAUUAAACGUUCACAAAGCAA